rnacentral:rRNA from 1 species
GACGAACGCUGGCGGCGUGCUUAACACAUGCAAGUCGAACGGAAAGGCACUGCUUUUGUGGGGUGCUCGAGUGGCGAACGGGUGAGUAACACGUGAGUAACCUGCCCUUGACUUUGGGAUAACUUAAGGAAACUGGGGCUAAUACCGGAUAGGAGCUCAUGCUGCAUGGUGGGGGUUGGAAAGUUUCGGCGGUUGGGGAUGGACUCGCGGCUUAUCAGCUUGUUGGUGGGGUAGUGGCUUACCAAGGAUUUGACGGGUAGCCGGCCUGAGAGGGUGACCGGCCACAUGGGGACUAAGAGACGGCCCAGACGCCUACGGGGGGCAGCAGUCGCGAAUAUUGCACAAUGGGCGGAAGCCUGAUGCAGCAACGCCGCGUGCGGGAUGACGGCCUUCGGGUUGUAAACCGCUUUCGCCUGUGACGAAGCGUGAGUGACGGUAAUGGGUAAAGAAGCACCGGCUAACUACGUG